UACAGAGGGGCAAGCGUUGUUCGGAAUUACUGGGCGUAAAGGGCGCGUAGGCGGCCUUCUAAGUCGAACGUGAAAUCCCCGGGCUCAACCCGGGAACUGCGUCCGAUACUGGAAGGCUUGAAUCCGGGAGAGGGAUGCGGAAUUCCAGGUGUAGCGGUGAAAUGCGUAGAUAUCUGGAAGGAACACCGGUGGCGAAGGCGGCAUCCUGGACCGGUAUUGACGCUGACGGCGCGAAAGCCGGGGAGCAA
rnacentral:rRNA from 1 species